CUCAGCCCCUGCCCCUGCAGCAGGGAGGGAGCAGGGCCAGCCCCAGCACCCCCCCACACACAUGGGGCACUCCUGGGUUGGCCCAGGCCACUUGUGCCAGCAGCAAUUGGGGCCUGUCCCACCCACCAGCACUGCUAUAAAUCCAGCCUGUUUGGGGCAAAGCAGCAUUCCCUGGCCCCAAGGGCAUCUGGACACAGCCAUUCCUGGUGGGUUUGCUGCUGCCUCAACACCCUGACCUUCUCCAGGCAGCCCUGUGAAGACCCAGGAGAGGCAGCAGCCAUGAAGAUCCUGUUCCUGCUCUUCCCCCUGAUCCUCCUGUUGGCCCAGGGUGCUGCAGGCAGUGCAAAUAGCUGCUGGAAACAACGGGGCUUCUGCACUAGGCGUAUUUGCCCCCGGGGUACAAGUUUCGCGGGAAGAUGCUCACCUGGCCUUGCGUGCUGCAAAAGUCGCUGGGCUUGAAACCCUGAAAUUCCCAAGCAGGACUUGCCCCUCGCUUCUGGCUGCUGGACCCAUCUCCUGAUGUCCCCUCCCAUCCCUGCCUGUACCAUGCCCAGCUGGGGUGACAGCAGCAGUGGCAGCUGCUCCUGCUGGGUGCUGCUGGGCUGGAGCCCUGUGGUGCCAGCCCCGCUGUCUUUGGGGCAGGGGCUGCUUUUCCCAGCUUGAAUAAAGACGAGCACUUUGGCAUUGCA